CUCUUUUCAAACACUGAGGGCUGCCGGGAUCCUCCCACCGGCCCGGCCGCAUCCCCGCCCCCAGCCUGCCCAGGGCUCCGUCCAGGAACCUACCCAUAAGGCCAGGUGCAGCCCCUCUGCGGUCCGGCUCAGGUGUGAGCCCCGGCCCUGAAGCUCUCUGGCGUCUCCAGAAAGCUUCCCUGGGCCUGAAAGAAGCCAGUGCCCUCCUCUGUGCCUGUGUUCUGCUGGGGUGCCAGGUGCCACCCAUGCUGGCCAGUUUGCCUCUAGGACUGGGACCGUGUCCGGGGUGACACAACACCCAGUCAUGGCCAGCAGCUGGACCCUGAGCACAUUUCGCACUGCUAAGAGAGUGGGACCUGUCUGGACAGCUAUUACUCCCUCAGACCGCUGAAAGGAAGGAAUUCUGCAGCGUGCAAACAGCUCCCCACUUAGAGGACACCGGGGAGUUGCUCUGUGACAGUUUUCACAGCUCACUACCAAGAUGCGCCUGCCCGGAAGUCACCCUGAUUACAGGAGGCCACCGGAGCACCUUUACCCCUUACAUGGCCUUUUGGCCAAGUGUGUCUGCUGUGCCUCCUCCAAAUGCUAUCACCUCCUCCAAGGGGAACGUGGGUUCCGAGGCCCCCUGGGCAAGUUCCGGUGUGGCCAACAGGGAGGCAUGUCUGCAUGGCAUACCACUCUCUCAUGAUUUGGUUUCAGUCUUUAUUGGUCUACUUCACAGAGGCCCAGGAGAUCACAGCUUACUGUCUCAGCCCUGGAAUAAGGUGCCGACUUAGGAGGUGUGGAGUGAUUUAUUAAAUGGAAUAUGGCACGGCAGGAAGCAGCCCUCUGGCCAUUUCCCAGGCUUUUCCUCCUAGGCUCACAGGAAGCAAAGAGUGAGGAGACUGCAGGUUGUAAAAAGAGGGUAGGUAAGCUUGGCUAAGCUCACAGAAGCUCUAGCAGCAGCGCAAAUGGCCAGUAAGCAUCUGAAAAGAUGCACACUUGCUCACUAUCUGGGAAACGCCGAUUCCAACCAUGGCAAGACACCAUGCUCCCACCCAUUCGAUUGGCAAAAUAUUGACGUUGGCAGAGGUGGAAGCCAUCUCCCAUUCACCAAGCGUGCACUGGCAUUGCUGUUUUUAGAGCAAUUGGCUAGACUUUAUAAACUGCAAAAUGCACAUUCCCUUGGGCCCCGAAUUUUUCUUUCCAGGUAUCUGGUCUUUCAGCAAUGAAGACUGCAGAAAGGAUGACCAAAGAUGUUCACGGCUGCAGCGCCUGGGUGCAAAACAGCAGCGGCGGCAUAAAGACUACCGAUAAAUAAAGUGGUGGGUGGGGGG